GACGAACGCUGGCGGUGUGCUUAACACAUGCAAGUCGAACGGCAAGGCCCUGCUUUUGUGGGGUGCUCGAGUGGCGAACGGGUGAGUAACACGUGAGUAACCUGCCCUUGACUUUGGGAUAACUUCAGGAAACUGGGGCUACUACCGGAUAGGAGCUCCUGCUGCAUGGUGGGGGUUGGAAAGUUUCUGCGGUUGGGGAUGGACUCGCGGCUUAUCAGCUUGUUGGUGGGGUAGUGGCUUACCAAGGCUUUGACGGGUCGCCGGCCUGAGAGGGUGAACGGCCACAUUGGUACUGAGAUACGGCCCAGACUCCAACGGUGGGCAGCAGUGGGGAAUAUUGCACAAUGGGCGGAAGCCUGAUGCAGCAACGCCGCGUGCGGGAUGACGUCCUUCUGGUUGUAAACCGCUUUCGCCUGUGACGAAGCGUGAGUGACGGUAAUGGGUAAAGAAGCACCGGCUAACUACGUG
rnacentral:rRNA from 1 species